UAACAUAUAUAUUAAUUAAUACAAUAAUAAUUCCUACGGAUUCAGAUUAAAAAUAAAUAAUAAAAUGAAGAGAAAAAACCACGUUAACUUAUUCACCAGACUUCUCAUAGGUGUAUGACGACAUUAUCUUUUUUUUUUGCCUUUUAAUACCUUCUAUAAAGAAUUAACUAAUUCGCUUAUUGGUACGGUUCUACAAUCGUUAAUUAAUACCUUCGUAAUUCAUUAUUUUAAAAAUUCUGAGAAAAAGCGUACUCGAUUCGGUUCGUUAAAAAAAGAAAGUCUCCAUUUAACAUUACAGAGAAAGAAAAACGUUCAGAAAAUGCAGGGUGAUCAAAAAAUAAUGGUGCAAGAGACAAUUGGUAAAUUUUUCAGCGGAAAAUAAGACGAUUUUCGAAAUUUUCCCAACAAACGUUUCAAAAUAUAAAAAAUACUGGAUUUAAACCAGUUAUCUCACUAUCUACCAUGAUCCGGUUACUCGCCACUCGUAAAGUACAAUAAAAAAAGCUUAAAAAAAAAGAGAGAAGAAGUUAUGAAGUUAAAAUCCACGAAUUUCUCGACGAUUGUUUAUUUUUGUUGCCAUCGAUACAAUUACAAUAAAAUACACCAUACCGUUUACAAUGAACACUUUCGUUCGACUCUUUCCUCUCUACAAGCGAACAAAACUAACGGAUAAACAAAGACAACAGGAAAAUCGGAAAACCAUGUUAUUUCCAACUAAAAAAAUUGUUCGUUAUUGCAGCCAGAAUUUUAAGCCGUGAUCCGCUAUCUAUCGACAUUUCUUUUUUUCUUUCUUUUUAACGAUGCAAUCAUUCUCGCUGAAGAAAAAACCACGGUUUAAGAAUAUAUUCCAUUUAUAAUCUAAGAAAGGCCGCAGUUUUCUCUUGUACUACAAUCUUUAAAACACCCUGUGUGUGUGUGUUUGUGUGUGUAGUAGUAGAAAGUAUGUUUAAGUAAUUAAUAUGUAUACAUGUGUACGUGUAUACGUGCACACGUGAAUGAUACACGUUUCUCAUCCUACGUACUUAUAUGUAUGACUACAAAAUUCGGAUACAUAUUUAUUUUUAUGGUGUUCAUACAUCGUUCACGUAUAUACGUAUUGGGUACAGUCGCGUCCAUAAACGAUUAAGAGGAAGUGUAUGUAUUUUCAUAAGUGGGAGGAGUCAGGAUAGGGGGAGGAGUCAAUGAGCGGGGUCAGUAGGAGGGGCUAACAGGCGGAGUCAAUGCAGGGAGUAAGUAGGUGUGGCAGUAGGUGAGUCUAUGGGCGGAGCCAAAGGGAGGGAGUCAGUAGGUGUGUCAGUAGGCGAGUCUAUGGGCGGGGCAAAUGGGAGGAGUAAACGGAAGGGACCAAUUUGAAGAAGAGAAUGGUGUAAUACAGUAACACAGUGUAAUGUAGUGUAGUGUAAUUUUGAUUUCGAAAGAACUUAAAACCUACACUUCUGCUUAAUCGAGAGAUGGACGCAAGAAUUUAUGGACAAGGUCCGAAAUUCAACUAGGUAGGGUGGUCAUGUUGCUCAGGUGAAUUUGUACCUUUCCAAUUAGAAAAUUCCACGCGGACACACAAACAUCAGUUAAAUAUACAUUACACGCGAAUCAAUUCUAUCUAAUUCGUUUAUCACGAAUAUUCGUAAGUUCAUUUCAAAUUUCGCGCCAAUACCUUCGUCCAUUUUCUGAACCAGUCAGCGACCAAUCGGGACGCUAGAAUUUGACUUGAGCAAUAUGGCCGCCUCACGAGGCUCGAAUUCCACCGUUUUCAAAUCCGUCCGUUUUUAUGGAAAGCAAGACCGAAAACGCGACCGUACGAGCGUUUAAUGUAUACCGAUACACACGCAUACAUGAGCACUUGGUUCACAUAGGUGCACGUAUAUUCGUAUAUAUGCAUUGUAUAUACAUAUAUAUAUACGGACAUAGAAUGUACAAUUGAAGUGGAAGGGCGAUAUGUAAGACUCCCGGGUUCAGAAUUAGCCUUCCCAAAAAUGAUUCGUUUUGCACACGCACUCGGGGAAAAAAACCAGAGGCAUUCGUUCGGAGAAACGCAUCGUCAUAGAAACAAAGCUUAAGCGUAUAACGUCAUAGCGGUUACAAAUAUCCUGUAUAUAAAAAAUGCGUGCAGUGAAGGAAUCAGACUGAAUUUAGAACGAUCUUUAAAAGCGGACGUAAAAACGAAAAAUUCGUAAUAUAGUUUUUCUUUUUCUCGACGACCGGAGUUUAUCCUUAUAUAUUUAUAUAACCAUGUUACAUAUAGGGUGCUUAAUAUAGGAGGCGCUAUAGUGUACAGUACAAUUCCCUACCAAUAAAACGAAAUAAUUCUCGGCAAUACUUCCCCCCACCCUCUCUCCUCGUUCGAGUUUCAGUCAAGUCCGAGGGAAAAAACGUUGAAACCGGGAAAAUCUUGAGAAAUUAAAAAGGGUAUUGAAUUUCGGAAAAUCAUCUUAUUUUCAGCACAGGAAUCGUAACUGCGUUCUUGUACUAUAAUUCAUGAGACACCCUGUACAUAUUGAAUCGUUAAGCAUAUAUAUAUAAUAUAUAUAUAAUAUAUAUAAUAUAUAUAUAUAUUUUUUUAAAUACGUAAACACCACACGAGCGUGUUAUCUUUUCUCGACCAAGAAAAGAUUGUUUCCUCUUUUUUUUUUAAAUCUUAUCUCAUUCAUCACAAUAUCGGCACACAUACAGAGACGCAGGUAGAAAAUGGGACCAGGUUCGACGUGCGAAUACCAUGCGCGAACCUUUUCUUUCUCGAGUAGAAAAAAGUCGAGGCUUUUUCUUUCCUCCUUGAAAAUUUACUUCUUUUCUCGUUUUUUUUUUUCUUCUUCUCCCUCCCCAGGCUUAAAUCCGCCGCGUUAUUUAAAUCCUAAUCUUUUGUGUUUAAAGUAAUGAUUUUAUAUCCUAGAAGAGCUAUAUAUUCAAUAUUUAUUAUCACAACAAAUAUCUUUCUGCUAGUUUAAGAAAGCUUUUCGCCCUUUGAUUUAAUUUGAUAUAUAUAUAUCAUAUAUAUGUACGUGUGUAUGUAAUGCAUGUGUGUGUGAGUGUGUGUAUGCGGCGUAUAUAAUCCGAAUGCUUAAUAUACGCGACAUCCUGUACAACAGUGAUAGGCAAAUCAGCUGCGCUCGCGAGUAUACAGGCUUAUUAAAAGUUAAAAUAAGAUUUUAACCGCGGGAAUGUAAGGGGGAGGGGCGCCACGCCCCUGCGUAUCCCGAUCCGAAUGGUCAAUGUUGAUAAAUCUGAGACAAAAUUGGGAAAGGAAUUUUCAGUUCUUUCUCUCUCAAUGCCCCUGAGCUCAUCGGGCAUUUGAUUUGCCCGACACUGGUAUACCUUUCCACUGUGAAUUUUUUCUGGUUCUUUUUCUUUAUGGGCGUGGUCUACGCCACACUCAGUAGCGGCAAUAUAACGAGAGUCUACUGGACGAAUAAAAAUGAUAACAACAUCAAUUAACAUUAGAUCGUAAAGAAUAACAGUGGAGUCUCGUUAUAUUAACGAGGAUGUCUCGAUAUCUUCCUGCGUUGGGGGCCCUAGAGGCGGGGAGGACCAUUGUCAUGCUUGCAGGAAGAGGACACUACAGUGUGAUACAUAAUGAAUGUCUACGUUGUUACUUUUUACAAGGUAGUAAACAUAUCAUUAUAGGAAUGUUAACUGAGUGUGACGUAGCAUAAAAGACAUAAACAAAAUAGAAUUGAAAUAAUUUUCGAUGUUUGUUCAACUCUGAUAUGUGUAACAUCCCGUGUAGAUAAAUUAUUUGAAGUCCUCGUUGCUACAAUAAUUUCGAUAACAAGUAAAAGUACCACUGGACAAAGAAAAAGCCAGAGAAAAUUCAUCGGUGAAAAAUCCCCGAACGUUUAAGUAAAAAAAAAAAGAAAAAACAAAAAAGAUAAACAAAAACAAUGUUAUUCACAGAAUCCUAGUUACUUUUCCAUUUACGCGCGAUUUAGUUCUUUUUCUGCAAUUCGAAACCUUAGCCUAAGAGUCCGUUAGAAUUAUCACUAAGCUACGUCGUGAAUAUAUCUCUCAAAUACCGUUAGACAAUGAAAAUCGCAAAAAUCGUAAUAACUAUACUAUUAUAUAUUUUUCCAUUAUUUCGUACCGCAAUCUCUAUUUCUUUAAUAUAUGGUUAUUAGCACUAUAUAUAUAUAAUAUAUAUGUAUAUAUAUAUAUAUCGCGUUUAUUUUUUUGUUGCUUAUUAAUGAACAUUACGAUCAAUUAUUAUUUAUUAUUACUUGUUAAUACCUAUUUAUUCCAUUCAUCAUCAUAAUCAGCAUCCCCGUCGUCAUCAUCGUUAUUAGUUACUAUUAAUCUGUUUAAAAUUAAUUAAUCUUUCAUUCUUGUUAGGAAUAGAGGUUACUCGCGAAUUAGUCCACUUUGUUGCAUUAAUCAAUAGUCACUUUUUUUUACUUUUACAAUAAUUAAUCGAUCUUACCAACUAAUUACUCUUUAUCAAACUGCAUGUAUUUCUAUACUAUUAAUAAUAUUAUAGGAAUGUAUAUAUGCGUAGGCGCGCGCGCGCGCGCGUGUACGCGCGCAUAGCUGUGUAGUGUGUACUUGUUUGUGUGUGCAUGCGUGCGCGCGCGAGUGCAAUAUAUACGUAUAAACAAUGUGUCUGUCUCUGACUCUGUGUGUGCGUGCAGUACAACCUCGAUAUUUUCCUGCGCCAGGGGCUGUAGAGGCGGAGCGGUACGUACAACCAAUCGCACACUAUCCCCACUCCAACCAUUUUACCGUUCCUCGAUGUUAAUGCAGGUCUGUCCUAUCCCUACGCUGACCAGAGUCGUUCUCAGUGUGUAAAGUUUCUAUGGCUAAUCGGUUCAACUCGAUUCAAAUUCGACGCAAUUCAAAUUGGACGUGAUUGAAAUUCGACUCGAUAUGACUUCACACGAUUCAAUUCGAUCCGACUCAAAUUCGACGGGAUUCAAAGUUGAGGCGAUUCAAUUUGGCGCGAUUCGACUCGGUCGCACGGUUUCCUUGGCAACGAAGGCGUUACCGUGCGAUCUCCUUAGCAACGGAGGCGUUACCGUGCGAUCCCUUUGGCAACGGGGGCGUGUCGCGUAGUCCCCUUAGCAACGAGGGCAUGCCACGUAACUCCCUUAGCAACGAAGGCCGUUUCCUUGACAUUGCGAGAUGCGUUGCACAGAAAAACAAUGCCACUGCAUUGUACAGACCUGCACUAACCGAACUCGCGUUGGACAUGUGAGCAACAGAAAUUUCAAUCUAACAGAAAUUUAUCAAGGUUUGACUGUAUACCGAAAACCUGCAAUUCUGUGAAUUGUUAUGUGUGUGUGUGUGUGUGUGUAUGUGUGUGUACGCGCGCUCGUACAUGCGUGCCUUAAUGUGUCCCUGUACUUGCUAGCUAAGUAUGUAUGUAUAUUGUUGUUAAUAAUACGCUUAAACGACGAAAUUGGACUUUACUCCUUGAUUCUUCUUGAUUCACCUUUCUUUGAUCUUUCGGGAUGUUUGUUUCGAGACGUGUGCACGAGGGACACUUUUUCGUUUUCUAUAUCUAAUGAACAACAUGACACACACGAACUAAUAUCUCAUAGUUGUAUUUAGAAUUUUCUUCAUUUACUUAUCGUUGAAAAUCGGUGCAUGGCACACACUCUGUCUUAACACUUUGACAGUCGCUUAUCUUAUGCGAUUGUUUCAGCAACCUUCGAAAGAUUCUAUGAUUUAUCGGUAUUUAAAUUACAAUUAAUUCGGUGAUUAGAAAUGAGGUAAAGAACGCUGGCCUGGGUCAGUACCGGCCGUCAAAGUGUUAAUCCCUACAGGGUGAUUCAAAAGAGAUGAGCAAAACUUCUGUGUGUUAAAAUCAGGGUUAUUCUGACCCAAUGAGCUGUAUUUACAUUUUUAAGAGAAACUGAUAAAUAAUAACAAUAUAGGGAUUAUUUUCGGUACUUAAUUCCCUUGUCAUUAUUAUGUUUAUGAACAUAUAUAUGUUUAUAUGAACUUUCCUUAUAUUAAACAUUUUUGGCCACCCUUUUUGAAGCACCCGUAUAUAUAUAUAGAUUUAGUAAACGUAUACACUUAUUGAUCAAUGUAUACAUAUGACAAUGUAUUUAUAAACAGAACUUUUGUUAUAGUGGAAGCAUUAUCUAUCGAGGUUGUAACAAAUUUGAAGAUUUUUAAAUUUUGAGAAGGCAAGGAGGCCUGUGUUGCGUUCGAAUAUACCGAUUGGUAACUUUGAUGUAUUUUCUGUUAGAAGACAACCAUCUCUACGUAUGGUAGAUGGAGUCUCCCCAAUCCUGAACAGAGGUGGGUGGAAUCUCCCCACUUCUGAGCAGAGGUGGGUGGAGUCUCCCCACUACUGAACAGAGGUGGGUGGAGUCUCCCCCACUACUGAGCAGAGGUGGGUGGAGUCUCCCUCACUACUGAACAGAGGUGGGUGAAGUCUCCCCAUUACUGAACAGACAUGGGUGGAGUUUUCCCACUACUGAACAGAGGUGGGUGGAGUCUCCCCCACUACUGAGCAGAGGUGGGUGGAGUCUCCCCCACUACUGAGCAGAGAUGGGCGGAGUCUCCCUACUAUUAAAAGUUUAACUCACAUUUAGACUCGUGAAACGUUUAAUACAAUAACUAGUAAUUGUAUACAUUUACUAAAUUUUUACAUUUUUCCCGUAAUAAAUUAAACAGAAUUGUUCCAACGGGAAUUCAAUGCUUAUUGUGAAAUUAACAUUUACUUUAAAAUCGUUCAUUAUAUUACUUGGAUAUCUUGAUUAAAUGAUAAGUGUGCGUGAAAGCUUCAUUGAAAUUUCUCAUUUUUUAUAUCCACUAUAUAGAUUGUACGUUUAUUGCAAUUAUGAUAUACACUUAAGUCAUCGCACGAUAAAAAUCUAAACGAAAAUUGACUUCAACGAAGAUCAUUUCAAAUUCAUCGAGGAUAUUUUUGUUACCAAUAUUAACAAUCUUCUUAAAUCAACAACAUAAUUGCAUUUUGAACUGAAUUCGUAAUCGUUUGCACUUUCAAGGACAUGUACCUCAUAAAUCUUCUUUUAAAAUCUAUUUAUACCUAUCAAUUUUUUUUUUUAAGGCAAAAAAUGUUAUACUGAUUUACGAAUUUAAUUUGCUACUUUCGAAGUAUUUUGAAAGAUUCGUCAGCCUUCGUUACAUUUUUAUCGAAACGUCGGUAAAACUUGUAUUAAAAAAAUAUUUACAGAUUUUUGCAUUUUCGUAAAGCACUUUAAACAUCGAAUACCGAACUUUUGAUCAGUUUUACCCCUUUCUUUCGCUCCCGAACGAAAUAUCCGAAUUUUCACCGAACUGAGUAUUUUAAGUACUCAAAAAUGCAUGAAAUAUUUUGCUCACGUGAUCUCGCGAAACAUUUGUUUUCUUUCGUUAGCAACAUAGAAAAAAAGAAAAACAAAUACUAGAAACGUAAAAGAAUAUUCAACAAGCAGUUUUAUUCUUUGUAUUUUAACAUUUGAAAUAAUAGCGAUAAGAACUUAAUUAUCGAGCGUUACAAUUACUAUUAUUUAAGCACAUUUCGUGUAUAUAUAUCUCUUACUGAAAUACGAGGAACUGUAGGAAGGAAAAAAGAAAAAAAAAAGUGAUUCAUUAAAAUUUGAACACACACGUUCGCGGCUUGUUUAAAUAAUACUGUAUAACAAUUAAAAAUCAAACUACAUGGAUAAUCAUUAUUUUUUUUUUCUUUUUCGUUUAACUAUAUAUGCGAUCAGUGAAAGAAAAGAGAAAUUAAUUAAAUAGCAACUUUAACGAUAAUAUCAUUUAACUCUGUUAAAUUUCCAUCCGCUAAACCUAUCGUUAUAUUAUCGUACAUAUUCGUUAACAAAAUGUUAAGACGUAAAAACUAAUUACGUAUGCCUUCGUUUUUUAAUCGUCACCGGCAUUGUCUCUCCGUUAGCCAUUGUAAAAAGUACUUAAAUAUUUGUAUCGUUAAAUUUGGCGACUUACACGAAGAAAAAUCGAAUUUACAAUUAUUAUCAUUUAAAAGCUACAGAAGAAAAAAUAUAGAGAUAUCUCUAACGUGUAUAAAUUAAAAAGUAUAUACUCGAUACUUUUGGUCUCUACAAAGAUUCCCUUACGCUUCGAAUGAUCGAGCCUUGACUAUAAAUUCAUAUUGUGAUUAGAAUUACACUAGUUAAUCGUUACAAUCUUUUUUUUUUAUCAUUUUCAAUUAUCGUAUCAAAUCAACAAUGGCACACGCCCCUGAUGCACACGUAUUUUGUGUCGAGAACAGAAAUAGCGACAACGCAUCCCGAAAGAGAGGUUCGUAUGUGUACGUUUUCUUACUGGCGCGUGUGUACGCAUGCGCACGGCAUAAGCAAUCCGAUUGGCUCCCAGUGGAGCGCAUGCGCAUACUAACUAAUGUAUGCCUGUAUAAGCGUACUGAAUCAAUAAUUCACGAUAAAAAUAGAGUAAGCACACACACAUACGUACGGAAUACGCAUUAAAAAAAAAAAAAAAAAA